rnacentral:rRNA from 1 species
UACGAAGGGGGCUGAGCGUUGUCGUGAAUUAUUGGGCGUAAAGGGUGCGUAGGCGGCCUGACAAGUCUGAUGUGAAAUCCCUGGGCUCAACCCAGGGCCUGCAUCGGAAACUGUCGGGCUUGAGUAUGGGAGAGGUGAGUGGAAUUUCCGGUGUAGCGGUGAAAUGCGUAGAUAUCGGAAGGAACACCUGUGGCGAAAGCGGCUCACUGGACCAUUACUGACGCUGAGGCACGAAAGCUAGGGGAGCGAA